GUUUGAUCCUGGCUCAGGACGAACGCUGGCGGCGUGCUUAACACAUGCAAGUCGAACGAUGAAGCCUUUCGGGGUGGAUUAGUGGCGAACGGGUGAGUAACACGUGGGCAAUCUGCCCUUCACUCUGGGACAAGCCCUGGAAACGGGGUCUAAUACCGGAUAACACUCUGUCCCGCAUGGGACGGGGUUAAAAGCUCCGGCGGUGAAGGAUGAGCCCGCGGCCUAUCAGCUUGUUGGUGGGGUGAUGGCCUACCAAGGCGACGACGGGUAGCCGGCCUGAGAGGGCGACCGGCCACACUGGGACUGAGACACGGCCCAGACUCCUACGGGAGGCAGCAGUGGGGAAUAUUGCACAAUGGGCGAAAGCCUGAUGCAGCGACGCCGCGUGAGGGAUGACGGCCUUCGGGUUGUAAACCUCUUUCAGCNNGAAGAAGCGAAAG
rnacentral:rRNA from 1 species